CGGCGCCCGCGCACAGCGGCGGCCGGGCGGAGGCGCCGGCCGAGCGGGCGCCCGCGGGCUGCGUAACGCCCUGUCGAAAGCGGACGCCAUAUUUUUUUGUGGCUGUGUCGACACAGAGCGACGUAGACAUGUUUUCCUCUCCUCCUCGGUCUGGCUUGCCUCCGCGCCAACUUGCCGUCAGAACUCUUCUGGGGAGGCCGCCGAGCCCUGCUGUCUGAGGAGGGAUGAAACAUCCUGACCUACUUAACCUCACGGCCCUCUGCAGUGGCCUGACCUGAGACAGCUCAGCCUGUUUUCAUCGACAGAGGACCAGCUCCUCGGUGCUGCCACCGAGCCCUGAGUGGAGACGUCAGCGGUGUCUCCGCUGCUUUCCAUGCUCUCGACUCCAGAAUUUCCAAUCCAGUAACUUGGCCCGGUGACCUCACAUUUGCUGUGUGAGUGGAUUUCUAGGCUUUUCCCAGCCGAGCUCUUGCUGUGAACAUUCUCCGGCCAGGACAAUUCUCUCUUCUCCAACAGCAGGCAGAUACCAAUUGCAAGGGC
rnacentral:lncRNA from 1 species